rnacentral:rRNA from 1 species
GCUCCUACCGAUUUCGAGUGAUUCGGUGAACCUUUUGGACAGCGUUAGUUUCGGCUGAUGCUGAAAAUCAAGUAAACCAUAUCACUUAGAGGAAGGAGAAGUCGUAACAAGGUUUCCGUAGGUGAACCUGCGGAAGGAUCAUUA